AUGAAAGUGAAAGCUCUGAUGAUGAUGAGCCAUUGAUCAAGAUGAUUAAAAAACCACCAACUGAAGAACAGUUGAAGCAGGCAAUCAAGGAUCUGUUGAAAGAUGCCAACUUGAGGAAGUUACAAUGAAGCAGAUUACCCGACAAGUAUGUUAUUUCAAAGCAUUUAUCACGGCAAAACAGCUUUUUUUCACACAUUUACAGUGUUGAAACAGCCACUGUAACCCCUUUACAAUGGCUGUUUCAACACUGUAAAUGUGUGAAUGUCAUUGCAUUGACAAAAUAUCAAACCAAAUUGUGUCUUCAAACAAAUGAGACAUUUAACUUUAGAUGCAUAUUCACUUUUCUGAUACACUGAACCAAUUGAAGUCCAGUGAUUUUUUUAUUACUAUGAGUCAGCUCCUCGUAAGUUCCUGCAGGUGUCCUAGAUAUAGAUAUGUUCCCCUAAUGUUUGACAUCCUCAAGUAUCCUGACUUCGAUCUGACCAGCAGAAAGGAAUUCAUCAAGGAAACAGUUAAAGGUUUGGUAUCCUGAAGGGAAGAAAAUACCUUAUUUUAAAGGACAGCGAGGGUGAAGAUUGUGUAGAAAACUCAAUUUUGUUUGGUGUAGUUUUUAUUUUAUAUAAGGUUCUCAAAUUUCAAGCAAAUUCUGCUUUUUUUGUAUUUUAAAAAGUAUUUUCUAAAAUUUAAAUUUUCACAUUUGACAGUAAAUUAUCUAGUUGGUUUUAGUUGUUGAAAUAUGCCACAUUUCUAAAGCGACCCUUUUCCCCUCUUAUUUUCAUGGCACAUAGCCAUUGCAUUUUGACAGUCAUAUUUGAAUGUCUUGGCUGUGUCAGUAAGCCCUCAAGUUACCAUGUCCUGCAGCUGCAUUACUGUUCAGAUGAUGAUGCCAAGAUAUUGUAUGCAAUAUUUAGGAAGAUUCGAUUGGUUUGACCUGUUAUCAGUGCUGAGAUCAUUUCUGAGGUCCUAAAUGCUGGAUGGGAAAAAAAGAAACUCAUUUGGAAAUGAAGGUUUUGGUCUGUUAUUGUAUUUCAACAUAAAAAAUUUGGCAGCGUCAGCUUCCAUUUCAGUGUUGCGCUUAACAGUUUGGAAUUUGGAAUUUUUAUACUAAUUUGUAAAGAGCAAAAAGCAUUGAUUUUUUGCGUUAUUAUGUUUUACUCCUGUUUCCAUACAGAUUUUUGUAAAUAUGCUUUACAGUGUGCUAUUUUUUUCCUACAUUUUUUUCCUAUAUUUUUAAUACAAGUCGUAAGAAACAAACAUAUCUGAGAUGUUACUCAUACCUGCAGGACAGUGUUGUAGAUUAGGUUCUCUGAUAAGACAUGAGUUAAGAUUGAUCUGUUGUAUACACUGACCUCAGUAACCAGUUUAUCAGUUAUCAUUGGUUGCUCAGUUAUAAUGUGUCACAAAAACGAAGAUGUGUGUUUAUUUUGUAAUAAAUUGAUUUUUCAUAGAAAAUAACCUGUUUUUUUUUUUAAGACUAAGCUUCAGUUUCCAGUUGAUUGUGUUCUGCUUUAAAGUUUUUGUAACAGUUUAAACUGUUUUAAUAUGUUAAUCUGGGGCAGUUCUAAACAUUUUGGACAAGAAGGCCGCAAUUUAUCAAACAGAUGGAAAGCCUAUUUUCCAGAUAUCCUCCAAUAUUUUGGCUAUAAUUACAUCAAAGUUGCUUGUUUUUUAAUGUUUUUUUUUUCUUUUGAAAACAACCUGGAACAAGAAAUAUUGAUGGGGUGUUCUUGGUAAUGUGUGUUUUAACCAUUUUUAAUGAAGUUUUUCUUGUGUUCUUUGAAUAAUAUAUUAAUUUUGAAGAAUUACAAGUUGCCCUGUUCCCCUUUAGAUGUUUGCUGAGGCCCCCUAGUGGAUCCCGGGCUCCUAGUUUAGCACCACUGCUUGUCACUAGGGACUCCUAGCUUUAAAAAUGUUCUCCAAACAGAUUUCCAUAGGUAACAUUUAGAGGUCAAACCAGAUUUGCAAUUUAUUACAUUUGAAAACUAACUUAAUAUAAAAAGGAUCUCAUUCCCUGACCGGGAAUCGAACCCGGGCCGCGGCGGUGAGAGCGCCGAAUCCUAACCACUAGACCACCAGGGAGUGUUGAAGCGCGUUGAGAAAAACAUGAUUCUAUAAGGUAUAUAGAAAAUAAUGUUUAAUUAUUUAACAAUUUACUGUAAAUAAUAAAAAACACACUAUCAUGUCUUUAAAAUACAUUGAACGCCUCGGUGCUUCUAAGGGACUACUCAGUUGAAAUACACCUGCCAGCAAAUAAUGACAACUGAGAAUACAUCCUUACAUUAUAAAACAUUGGGUUCAUAUAAUGCAAACAAAUCACAAUCCUUUUACUAACUAGAUAAUUCCAUUUAGGAAAAACAUUGUAUUCACUCCACACUCUUACGUUGCUUCGUCCUCCUUGUGGCCAGUAGAGUUCGCAGUUUUAUUCAUUUUCGAGCUUUAACAUUUCCUGUCAUGGCCAUUAGAGGUCGUAGUUUGACGCGUUUUAGCUUUGUUCUGGAGGUUGAAGUUGAGGGGUCACGUUGGCUUACAUUAGCUGAAGUGAUGCAGGCAGAUCAGUAGAGACGUACAGCCACCUGUCUGUGGAACUCAACAGGAGCCGAAGCAGCGUUAAAACAAGCCCUCGGAGAGAAAGGGUAGAACCUGUCAUUAGGGUAAGCGAUUAUUUGAGCGCUGUUGUUUUAGUUUGUGUGUUUAUAUUGCAUUUUAGAAGCAUGGCAGGCCCAUAGUGCUCACUAUUUCUGUUAGCUGUUCCAGUGACAUGCUGUCAAAGCGCUUCCUAGAUAGAUGUGCCUAGCUUGCCGCCACGUUGAGGCAAUGAAAUGCGUAUUUUUAGGGCGAUGCGUUCUAUUUAUUGUCUAUAUAAGUCAAGCUAAUCUAAAUAAAACUGGCAGGUGCUUUAUACAUCAACUAUUGCUAAUGCUAAAGCGUUAGCAGCUCGGCUAAAGUUAAUGCCAUGGAGACGUGUAACGUUAUCGGUUUCAUCUCCUUGCACAACAAAAAGAUAAUAUAUAGUCAGGAUUUUGAAAGGCAUGAAAUGCAGGACAUUGCAGACAACCGAGUUAAUGCAAAACUGUAUUUAUAUGUAGUUCAGUGACUGUUAGCUUUAGCUCUGUUAGACUGCUUUCAGCUCAGCUAAUUUACAGUUUAAUUGACUGACAAUAACUGCAGAAGAAACGUAGGAAAUUGCAUCAGCCUGAACACCACACGUUACAAAUAUAGUACGUAUAUUGUGCAAUACCGUAAAUGUACCAAUGUAUGUUAUGACAUUUAGGAAAUAAAAAUAAUAUAAUAUAAAAAUAGCAUGGUGUUACUGUCUCAUAAGUUACCUUACAAUACCAUGGUGCUAUCACAGCUUUGCUUUGUAAUUAUAUUAGUUUAUUAAAUAACCUGCCAAAUCGUCUGGACUUAAAAGGUUUUUUUUUUUUUUUUUGUCGUGUUAGUGCAAAUGGAUUUGAUUCAGAUUAAAUUUGAUACUUUUCGUGUUUAUAUGGUUGUGUUGGAGUUUGACAGUUCAUUUAUUAUGUUGGUUUUAAGUACCUGUGAGAUGUUUUGGCAUGUUUUUCCCUAUAUUAAUAAAAUGUUUUGGUUAUACAUAAUAAACAAAUAGAUAUUUUCCAGUUUGUGGUUUGAUCAAUGAUUUAGACAAAAAUAGGAGUCAGACAAGAAAUUGCUUAAG
rnacentral:lncRNA from 1 species